rnacentral:tRNA from 1 species
CGAGGUGUAGCGCAGUUGGUAGCGCGCCAGUUUCGGGUACUGGAGGCCUGGAGUUCGAAUCUCCACACUUCGACCA